CCUACGGGUGGCAGCAGUAGGGAAUUUUGCGCAAUGGGGGAAACCCUGACGCAGCAACGCCGCGUGAUUGAUGAAGCUCUUCGGGGUGUAAAGAUCUGUCAGUGGGGACGAAACUUGACGGUACCCACAGAGUAAGCAUCGGCUAACUCCGUUCCAGCAGCCGCGGUAAUACGGGUGAUGCAAGCGUUGUCCGGAAUCAUUUGGCGUAAGGAGUUCGUAGGUGGGAUGUGAAGUGUGGUGUUAAAUGCCGAGGCUCAACCUCUGUUCAGCUCUGGAUACUGGCGAGCUUGAAUGCGGUAGAGGUAAAGGGAAUGCCAGGUGUAGCGGUGAAAUGCGUAGAUAUAAGGAGGAACAGCGGUGGCGUAAGCGCUUUACUGGGCCGUAAUUGACACUGAGGAACGAAAGCGAGGGUAGCAAAUGGGAUUAGAUACCCUUGUAGUC
rnacentral:rRNA from 1 species